rnacentral:lncRNA from 1 species
GCACUGGUUCCUUUGACACGACCCAGCUGGUGUGAGGCACAGCAGUUUCAGAUAAAGAAUGGCUCAUUCUCGUCCAGCACGGGACUUUGUUGCACUUUCAGAUCUGCAUCCAAACCUCGCUCGUCCUAAUGUAAUCGGGGUGGUUAUUGGGAAAACAGAUGUCAGAAGCUUUCCAGACCGAAAAAGUACAGUCCCUUUAAACUCUUUUUCCUUCGUUUUCUUCAACGGUGUAACUUGGCAGAGAUGACUGAAAUCAAUAUUGAAAUGAUAAACAGAUUCCUCAGUGUAAAAU